rnacentral:rRNA from 1 species
AUAUUGGCCAAUGGAGGCAACUCUGAACCAGCCACGUCGCGUGAAGGAUGACGGCCCUACUGGUUGUAAACUUCUUUUAUACAGGAAUAAAGUGAGUCACGUGAUACUUUUUGCAUGUACUGUAUGAUUAAGGAUCGGCAAACUCCGUGCUAGCAGCCGCGGUAAUACGGAGGAUCCAAGCCUUACGUGGAUUUAUUGGGUGUAAAGGGUGCGCAGGAGGAAGAUUAAGUCGGCGGUGAAAUUUUGCAGCUCAACUGUAAGAGUGCCAUCGAUACUGGUUUUCUUGAGUGUGGAUGAAGUAGGCGGAAUUUGUGGUGUAGCGGUGAAAUGCAUAGAUAUCACGAGGAACUCCGAUUGCGCAGGAAGCUUACUAGGCCAUAACUGACGCUCAGGCACGAAGGCGUGGGGAUCAAAC